CCUACGGGCGGCAGCAGUGGGGAAUAUUGGACAAUGGGGGCAACCCUGAUCCAGCCAUGCCGCGUGUGUGAAGAAGGCCCUCGGGUUGUAAAGCACUUUCAGUGAGGAAGAACGCCUGGUGGUUAAUACCCAUCAGGAAAGACAUCACUCACAGAAGAAGCACCGGCUAACUCCGUGCCAGCAGCCGCGGUAAUACGGAGGGUGCGAGCGUUAAUCGGAAUUACUGGGCGUAAAGCGCGCGUAGGUGGCUUGAUAAGCCGGUUGUGAAAGCCCCGGGCUCAACCUGGGAACGGCAUCCGGAACUGUCAAGCUAGAGGGCAGGAGAGGAAGGUAGAAUUCCCGGUGUAGCGGUGAAAUGCGUAGAGAUCGGGAGGAAUACCAGUGGCGAAGGCGGCCUUCUGGACUGACACUGACACUGAGGUGCGAAAGCGUGGGUAGCAAACAGGAUUAGAUACCCCUGUAGUC
rnacentral:rRNA from 1 species